rnacentral:lncRNA from 1 species
UAAACGUUACAACAAAUGGACAUGGUGAAAAUAAUCCCACAGUAGAGUCUUUUCUAUUUAUUGUUGCUUAGACACUAAUUCAUGAAUUAUACUUUGAAAUUUGCACAUCACACCAACAUGGUUUUUGGGGAGUGAGUUUGGAAUACUUACUUUUUGUCCAAGUGUGUUUUAAUUUCUGUUCAAUAUAAAUAAAGUUAGUAUGUGUUAUAAAGUAAUAAUUGCC